GCUGCAAUGGCGGAGUGGUUAACGCGUUCGCCUUGAAUCAUCACGUGUGAUUAGAGACAGCGAAUUCCUUCGGGAGCGCACGUUCGAACCGUGCUUGCAGCG